AGCGAACGCUGGCGGCAGGCCUAACACAUGCAAGUCGAACGAACUCUUCGGAGUUAGUGGCGGACGGGUGAGUAACACGUGGGAACGUGCCUUUUGGUUCCGAAUAACUCAGGGAAACUUGUGCUAAUACCGAAUGUGCCCUUCGGGGGAAAGAUUUAUCGCCAUUAGAGCGGCCCGCGUCUGAUUAGCUAGUUGGUGAGGUAACGGCUCACCAAGGCGACGAUCAGUAGCUGGUCUGAGAGGAUGACCAGCCACACUGGGACUGAGACACGGCCCAGACUCCUACGGGAGGCAGCAGUGGGGAAUCUUGCGCAAUGGGCGAAAGCCUGACGCAGCCAUGCCGCGUGAAUGAUGAAGGUCUUAGGAUUGUAAAAUUCUUUCACCGGGGACGAUAAUGACGGUACCCGGAGAAGAAGCCCCGGCUAACUUCGUG
rnacentral:rRNA from 1 species